AGAGUUGAUUAUGGCUCAGAACGAACGCUGGCGGCGCGUCUUAAGCAUGCAAGUCGAACGGCAAGAGGUAGCAAUACCUCCUAGAGUGGCGGACUGGUGAGUAACACGUGGGUGACAUACCCUUCAGAUGGGGAUAGCUAUUAGAAAUAGUAGAUAAUACCGAAUACGAGCACAGGGGUUAGAGAUCUGUGAGGAAAGGAGCUAAGGCUCCGCUGAAGGAAUGGCCUGCGGCCCAUUAGCUAGUUGGUGAGGUAAGAGCCCACCAAGGCGAUGAUGGGUAUCCGGCCUUAGAGGGUGAACGGACACAUUGGGACUGAGAUACGGCCCAGACUCCUACGGGAGGCAGCAGCUAAGAAUAUUCCGCAAUGGACGAAAGUCUGACGGAGCGACGCCGCGUGGAUGAAGAAGGCCGGAAGGUUGUAAAAUCCUUUUGAAACUGAAGAAUAAGCGUUGUAGGGAAUGACAGCGUGGUGACAGUAGGUUUUGAAUAAGCAACGGCUAAUUACGUGCCAGCCGCUGC
rnacentral:rRNA from 1 species